UGAAUUAUCCUGCCGCCCCAUCUAAGGAAAUUCAACUCUGAUGAGGUUUCGGUAAUCUCCAUUGUGAGAAUGCGAAGGUAAAAGAGUCCUACAUUGGUGAAAGGAGAAACUUUGCAAGCGCUUAUAAGACGUUGGGCUACUUCCCAUAUUGUCAAUCGGUUUUAUGGUGGAAUCUCAACUUCUUCAUCCAUGUCUUUGGGUGGUGCUUCUACGAUUGAAAUAAGGAGGGCUAUAUUUCCCAUUGCAUAUUAUGCUUUUGAUCAAAGGUUGUGCUUCCAUUAGCACAAGCGGUUGCAGAUUUACGGCCGCAGUUUGAUAAAAUCAGAAUUUUUCCGGAGUCUAGAGAAGUGAUUGUAACGGGGAUUGCUCCUCCAGAGUCUGGAUAUGAAUGCAGUAGAUUCUUCUCCCCUAAGCACAAAAUUAAUGAAGUUGCUCCUCCAGAGUCUAGAGAAGUGAUUGCAUCGCGUCGAGGGGGAGUUGUAUGCAUUCAUCUAGAUGAGCACAAUCAAAGGCUACUGAUUGUUGGAAGCUAACCAGCUCCUGGAGUCGGGGAGUCGAAGGCAGCAAGAUACUCCCGAGCAAAAGGAUGUCAUCUGCAUCGAAGAAGAAGAAAGAAAAUGAAGGGUUCUAGUCUCCAACGGCUAGUUUUGUUUUAAAUGUUUGUGUAAGUGUGUGAGUGACAAAUGUACACUCCAGAUUAAAUCAUUUAACCCCAAAAUGAAGGGUUAAGAUGUAAUCUGGAGUAGUAAGGCUUAAUGGUUGUUAAGGCCUCUUGUCAAUCACCUUUUGUAGAAAGUAUGGGUGAUGGAAAUGCACCAUACUCUUGUGUAAAAAUCACUCUUCUUAUUCAAUCAAGGCUGCUGCAUUAUUUGCAUAGCAGAAACCAA